UAGGGAAUCUUCGGCAAUGGACGAAAGUCUGACCGAGCAACGCCGCGUGAGUGAAGAAGGUUUUCGGAUCGUAAAACUCUGUUGUUAGAGAAGAACAAGGACGUUAGUAACUGAACGUCCCCUGACGGUAUCUAACCAGAAAGCUACGGCUAACUACGUGCCAGCAGCCGCGGUAAUACGUAGGUGGCAAGCGUUGUCCGGAUUUAUUGGGCGUAAAGCGAGCGCAGGCGGUUUCUUAAGUCUGAUGUGAAAGCCCCCGGCUCAACCGGGGAGGGUCAUUGGAAACUGGGAGACUUGAGUGCAGAAGAGGAGAGUGGAAUUCCAUGUGUAGCGGUGAAAUGCGUAGAUAUAUGGAGGAACACCAGUGGCGAAGGCGGCUCUCUGGUCUGUAACUGACGCUGAGGCUCGAAAGCGUGGGGAGCAAACAGG
rnacentral:rRNA from 2 species